rnacentral:ribozyme from 1 species
UGCCCAGCAACUCCUAUCCCUACCUCCUCGACGUACUCGCCGGGGUACGAGUAACCUCAGGGAAGAUCGGGUAACCAACCCCGGUGGGAACUCUGGUCUGGCUGAUAGGGAAGG